rnacentral:misc_RNA from 1 species
GAAACGCGAUAGUUAAUGUGAAUUGCAGAAUUCAGUGAAUCAUCGAGUCUUUGAACGCACAUUUCGCCUAUAGGUAUUCCUUUGGGCAUGUCUGUUUGAGCGUCAUUACAACCCUCAGCUAACCGCUGGUUUUGAACCUGAACGGGUGACACCGCGCCGGUUUUAAAGUUGUAAGCUCUGCUGGCCGCUCUGCCCAACCAGAACAUAGUAAGCACUACUUGUCCGGGUGAAGCUGAACGGUACGGCCUGAACAAAACCUACCCACUCUCAAGGUUUGACCUCCUAUCAGACAAGGAUACCCGCUGAACUUAAGC